rnacentral:tRNA from 1 species
GGGGUUGUGGCUCAGUGGUAGAGCACUUGCCUAGCAUAUACGAGGCCCUGGGUUCAAUCCUCAGCACCA